rnacentral:rRNA from 1 species
UACGGAGGAUGCAAGCGUUAUCCGGAUUCAUUGGGUUUAAAGGGUGCGUAGGCGGCUUUUUAAGUCAGUGGUGAAAUCUUGCCGCUUAACGGUAAAAUUGCCAUUGAUACUGAAAAGCUUGAGUACAAUUGAGGUAAGCGGAAUGUGUAGUGUAGCGGUGAAAUGCUUAGAUAUUACACAGAACACCAAUUGCGAAGGCAGCUUACUAAAGUGUUACUGACGCUGAUGCACGAAAGCGUGGGGAG